GACGAACGCUGGCGGCGUGCUUAACACAUGCAAGUCGAACGAAGAGCGACGGAAGCUUGCUUCUAUCAAUCUUAGUGGCGAACGGGUGAGUAACGCGUAAUCAACCUGCCCUUCAGAGGGGGACAACAGUUGGAAACGACUGCUAAUACCGCAUACGAUCUAACCUCGGCAUCGAGGAUAGAUGAAAGGUGGCCUCUACAUGUAAGCUAUCACUGAAGGAGGGGAUUGCGGCUGAUUUGCUAGUUGGAGGCGUAACGGACCACCCAGGGGAUGAUCAGUAGCCCGACUGGGAAGAUGAACGGCCACAUCGGGAAUGAGACACGGCCCAGACUCCUACGGGAGGCAGCAGUGGGGAAUCUUCCGCAAUGGACGAAAGUCUGACGGAGCAACGCCGCGGGAGGGAUGACGGCCUUCGGGUUGGAAAGCUCUGUUAAUCGGGACGAAAGGCCUUCUUGCGAAUAGUGAGAAGGAUUGACGGUACCGGAAGAGAAAGCCACGGCUAACUACGUG
rnacentral:rRNA from 1 species